rnacentral:rRNA from 1 species
GUGGCGGACGGGUGAGUAACGCGUGAGAAUCUGCCCUCAGGAGGGGGAUAACGGCUGGAAACGGCCGCUAAUACCCCAUAUGCCGCGAGGUGAAACGAAUUUCGCCUGAGGAUGAGCUCGCGUCUGAUUAGCUAGUUGGUGGGGUAAAGGCCUACCAAGGCAUCGAUCAGUAGCUGGUCUGAGAGGAUGAUCAGCCACACUGGGACUGAGACACGGCCCAGACUCCUACGGGAGGCAGCAGUGGGGAAUUUUCCGCAAUGGGCGAAAGCCUGACGGAGCAACGCCGCGUGAGGGAUGAAGGCCUCUGGGCUGUAAACCUCUUUUAUCAAGGAAGAAGAUCUGACGGUACUUGAUGAAUAAGCCACGGCUAAUUCCGUGCCAGCAGCCGCGGUAAUACGGGAGUGGCAAGCGUUAUCCGGAAUUAUUGGGCGUAAAGCGUCCGCAGGCGGUCUUGUAAGUCUGUCGUCAAAGCGUGGAGCUUAACUCCAUUUAAGCGAUGGAAACUGCAAGACUAGAGUGUGGUAGGGGCAGAGGGAAUUCCCGGUGUAGCGGUUAAAUGCGUAGAUAUCGGGAAGAACACCAGUGGCGAAGGCGCUCUGCUGGGCCAUAACUGACGCUCAUGGACGAAAGCCAGGGGAGCGAAAGGGAUUAGAUACCCCUGUAGUCCUG